ACCCCGAAAUUUGGGGGGGACCCCGAAAUCCCGGGGGGGGGACCCCGAAAUCCCGGGGGGACACAAAGGUUUUAAAGGGGAAAAGGUUUGGGGAUGGGUCAUGAAAAGUGUCUGAAAUUUGGAGGGGACUGGGAGGUCCUGAAAUUUGCAGGGGGACCCCAGAAUCCUCGAGGGGUCCCCAAAAUCUUGGGGGGACCCCAAAGUGCCCAGGGGAACCCCGAAAUCGCAAAGGGUACCCUGAAAUCCUUUGGGGGUUCCCAAAGUUCAAGAGGAAAAGUUUCAGGUCAUGAAGAGUUUCUGAAAUUUGGAGGGGACCGGGAGGUCUCAGGGGGUCCCCAAAAUCCUCGAGGGUUCCUCAAAUCUCCAGGGGGACCCUGAAAUCCUGGGGGGAACCCUAAAAUCGCCAGGGGGAUCCCAAAAUUCUGGGGGGUCCCUGGAGGUUUUUAGGGGUUCCCAAAGUUUUAAAGGGGAAAAGUUUUGGGGAUCGGUCGGGGAAAAGUAUCUGAAAUUCGGAGGGGACUGGGAGGUCUCAGGGGGUCCCUGAAAUUUGCAGGGGGACCCCAGAAUCCUCCGGGGGUCCCCAAAAUCUUGGGGGGACCCCAAAGUGCCCAGGGGAACCCCAAAAUUUGGUGGAAACCCCGAAAUCCGGGGGGGACCCAAAGUUUUUAAAGGGGAAAAGUUUUGGGGAUGGGUCAUGAAAAGUGUCAGCUAAUGAACCCGUUAAUUACCGCAGCUAAUUAAGCCGGCCGAGCCCCGCCCCCCCGGGGCCCGGCGCGCACUGGCUGCGCACAGAGACCCCUCCCCCCCCGGCUGUGUAGGGACCCCCCCCGUGGGGGGCACCCAAAGGGGCUGGGGGGACAAAAA